rnacentral:rRNA from 1 species
AGGACGAACGCUGGCGGCGUGCUUAACACAUGCAAGUGGAGCGACGAACCAGGGCUUGCCCUGGGGCAGAGCCGCGAACGGGUGAGUAACACGUGGGUUACCUGCCUCGAUGACCGGGACAACCCGAGGAAACUCGGGCUAAUACCGGAUGUGCCCGUAAGGGGAAAGGAAGCUUAGGCCUCCGCAUCGAGAUGGGCCCGCGGCCCAUUAGCUUGUUGGUGAGGUAACGGCUCACCAAGGCUGCGAUGGGUAGCUGGUCUGAGAGGACGAUCAGCCACACUGGGACUGAGACACGGCCCAGACUCCUACGGGAGGCAGCAGUGGGGAAUCUUGCGCAAUGCGCGAAAGCGUGACGCAGCAACGCCGCGUGGGGGAAGAAGGCUUUCGGGUUGUAAACCCCUUUCAGUUGGGACGAAGCUUCGCCGGUGAAUAGCCGGCUGGAGUGACGGUACCUUCACAAGAAGCACCGGCUAACUACGCGCCAGCAGCCGCGGU